AGCGCUUUCUGUGGCUAGGGGAGUCAGGGGUUUCCUUUUCCCUUAUUCGGGCUCUUAUGUUACCCCCGUUUUCCGUUGAACCCUUUUCUCCCCUCUUGCCCUCCAAAAAAGCAGUCUGCUGCCGCUCCCGACUUUUCUCGCUGAGACACCGUCAGCUCACUCCGAGCCCAGCACAGCGGCCAUCUUCGGUAAAUUCUGGCAGCAGCCCGCCUGUUCAUUGUCCUGUGUGCCCAGAGGAAAGAACUACUCAUUUUUCGUGAUCAAGCUAGGGGAGGCAGGAGCAAUAAUGGCCCUGCUAUAGGACUGGCUUUUAUUUGAAUUCCAACUCUUCUGCCACCUUAACCAGCUGUAUCCAGAUUUUAAAAGUUAAUCUAUCCGAGCCUCUUAUUAAAUAUUAGGUUGAUGAGAUGAUGCAUGCAAAGCGCUUAGAACAGUACUAGGCAUAAAGCGUCCGACAUAAAGGUUAAGUAAAAGUAAGGAAAAGCUAUGGGGAUGUAUUGAGUAUCUCUUUGCCCAAUGACGUAUUAGUCGUAUUAAAUAUGGAAAGUGCCUUUGAUUCGCCGUGCCCAUGGGAGAAGGCAUAGGAAUGGCCUUUUCCCACCUGUAAUCAGAGAGCAGGUGUUUCAAGAACGCCUCAAUAUGUUUGCGAUCUCUCACGCAGCCUUUCAGGCUCCUAAUUCCUACGAAGUUUCCGCUUUUAUUCAAAUUGGCUCACUCCUUUUUGCAGGGCUUUGUACUGAAUGAGUAUUCUUUUAAGGGUGGUGGACAAGCAAAGGUUUGGUAGCAUCACAUUUUUAAUUUCACAGGGAAAAUGGGUAUGAAACAUCUUCCCAAGUACAUCUUAGACUGCCAGCUGACAGCAAGCCAUAAUGCUCCCCAGCUCUUGGGCCCUACACCCCCUCUCCCCCAUCCCCGCUUUAGUUCUUUGUCAUUGCUCAUGGACAGCUGGUUUGGGGACCAGGUGCAGAUGAUGGGAGGUGUCUGAAAAACAGCAAGUGAGAAAUGCUAGUUUUGUUGUUUUAAGUUGCACUGAUGACUCCAGUAGUUAUCUGUGCUGCUUGUGAUAAUUUAUAAGGCAAUGAUAACGAAUUAAACAUACAAAAGAUUAUUAUCUUCCACAGGAAAAAAAAACUGCAAACUUGUGACACCAUUUAUGAUCCACUUAGUCUUGAGAUACUGAGUAAUAGAACUUUCUCCUUUUAGGCUGAGUUAUGAACUUCGGUUUGGUUUCUUUCUGCAAUCCCUGCAGGGCCAUAAAUUCUUGGCCCUUAAGACUGGGUGGCCCAUAACAGACUCAGUGAUACCAUCAGUAACCACAAUUCACACUGGAGUCAAGUUAUCUGAUUCCCACACCAGUUGGAGAACUGGAGAUUCCUUAGAACUUUUAACUGUCAUGUUUUCAAAGUUGACAUGGAAAAUUUUACAUGAAGCUUAAAAAUACAACUAAUCUGUGGUGAUAGAGACGAGAAGAGUUAAGCUCUAAAAUUAGAAGAGCAGUUCGUUUUGAGGCAGCACUGAUUGGGAGGGAGCAUGGAGUAUAUAAUUACACAUUUCUAUGUAAUGUAAAAAUGUAUAGAUUUAAGAUUUAUGCAUUUUAUGUAAAUUUUACUACAAUAAAACGAAAAUGAAAGAAGACAGAUCAUAGUUUAAUCAAAUAUUGUGUACAAAGUAAUUUCUGUUAAACAUUUAUAUUUUUAUGUGUAUAUGUAUCUUUUACAUGUAUGUGUUAAGGAUAUGCAUUAAAAUGGUAAUAACUUCCUCUGCCUGUUGGGAUAAUGGAGAGUUUUGUUACUUUUUGUCUUUUUUUAAAACAUGUUCUUCAAUAAUAAUGUAUUGCUUUUGUAAUUAUGAAAAACAAAAGUUAUUUUGUAAAUCUUUGUUACUGAUAAGAGAUGGGUAUUCUGUUAACUACUCAAUUCUCAUGUAGGAAAACAAAAUAAAUAAUGUCUAUUUGAUAAAUCGAGAAACAGAAGCAUUACUUAGAAAUCUGAGUUACCUCUAAAAUAAUGACUGGCAUUUGAAGUUGAGGAUGGGUCUUGAGUUCCUGUGAUUUUAAGCUCUUGGAUAUGAGGGUUGGGUGAGUUCCUCUUUUUCUCUUUUAAAAUAUAUGUAUGUUUAACUUUGCUAAAUAAAAUUUAAAAGAUGCAAUGUA
ensembl:lncRNA LINC01004 long intergenic non-protein coding RNA 1004